GACGAACGCUAGCGGCGUGCCUAAGAAAUGCAAGUCGAGCGGAGUUAGGAAGCUUGCUUCCGAAGCUCAGCGGCGAACGGUCGCGUAACACGUAAGCAACCUGCCUCAAAGUGGGGGAUAGCCCUCCGAAAGGGGGAUUAAUACCGCAUGUGGACAACCGAUGGCAUCUUUGGUUGUCUGAAGCAGUAAUGCGCUUUGAGAGGGGCUUGCGGCCUAUCAGCUAGUUGGUGAGGUAACGGCUUACCAAGGCGACGACGGGUAGCUGGUCUGAGAGGAUGAUCAGCCGGACUGGGACUGAGAUACGGCCCAGACUCCUACGGGUGGCUG
rnacentral:rRNA from 1 species